GGGGAUCUAGCUCAGUGGCAUAAGCACCUGCUUUGCAAGCAGGCGGUCGUUCAAUCCCCG
rnacentral:tRNA from 1 species